rnacentral:rRNA from 1 species
GCCAAUGGCAUUGCCCGGUAGCUAAGUGCGGAAGAGAUAACCGCUGAAAGCAUCUAAGCGGGAAACUUGCCUUGAGAUGAGUCUUCCCUGACUCUUUAAGAGUCCUAAAGGAACGUUUAAGACUAAGACGUUGAUAGGUUGGGUGUGUAAGCGUAGCGAUACGUUGAGCUAACCAAUACUAAUGAACCGUGAGGCUUAACCUG